GGCUGGGUAGCUCAGUGGAUUGAGUGCCAAGCCUAGAGGUGGGAGGUCCUAGGUUCGAAUCCAGCCUCAGCCA
rnacentral:tRNA from 1 species